rnacentral:rRNA from 1 species
UUUGAAAUCUGGCCUUCGGGUCCGAGUUGUAAUUUGUAGAGGAUACUUUUGGCGAGGUGCCUUCCGAGUUCCCUGGAACGGGACGCCAUAGAGGGUGAGAGCCCCGUCUGGUCGGAUACCAAGCCUCUGUAAAGUUCCUUCGACGAGUCGAGUAGUUUGGGAAUGCUGCUCAAAAUGGGAGGUAUAUGUCUUCUAAAGCUAAAUAUUGGCCAGAGACCGAUAGCGCACAAGUAGAGUGAUCGAAAGAUGAAAAGCACUUUGAAAAGAGGGUUAAAAAGUACGUGAAAUUGUUGAAAGGGAAGCGCCUAUGACCAGACUUGGGCCCGGUGAAUCAUCCAGCGUUCUCGCUGGUGCACUUUGCCGGGCACAGGCCAGCAUCAGUUUGGCGCGGGGGAUAAAGGCUUUGGGAAUGUGGCUCCCUCGGGAGUGUUAUAGCCCAUUGUGUAAUACCCUGCGCCGGACUGAGGUACGCGCAUUGCAAGGAUGCUGGCGUAAUGGUCAUCAGCGACCCGUCUUGAAACACGGACCAAGGAGUCGUCUUCGUAUGCGAGUGUUCGGGUGUCAAACCCCUACGCGUAAUGAAAGUGAACGCAGGUGAGAGCUUCGGCGCAUCAUCGACCGAUCCUGAUGUUCUCGGAUGGAUUUGAGUAAGAGCAUACGGGGCCGGACCCGAAAGAAGGUGAACUAUGCCUGUAUAGGGUGAAGCCAGAGGAAACUCUGGUGGAGGCUCGCAGCGGUUCUGACGUGCGAAUCGAUCGUCAAAUAUGGGCAUGGGGGCGAAAGACUAAUCGAACCUUCUAGUAGCUGGUUUCCGCCGAAGUUUCCCUCAGGAUAGCAGUGUUGAACUCAGUUUUAUGAGGUAAAGCGAAUGAUUAGGGACUCGGGGGCGCUAUAUUGCCUUCAUCCAUUCUCAAACUUUAAAUAUGUAAGAAGCCCUUGUUACUUAAUUGAACGUGGGCAUUCGAAUGUAUCAACACUAGUGGGCCAUUUUUGGUAAGCAGAACUGGCGAUGCGGGAUGAACCGAACGCGAGGUUAAGGUGCCGGAGUGGACGCUCAUCAGACACCACAAAAGGUGUUAGUACAUCUUGACAGCAGGACGGUGGCCAUGGAAGUCGGAAUCCGCUAAGGACUGUGUAACAACUCACCUGCCGAAUGUACUAGCCCUGAAAAUGGAUGGCGCUCAAGCGUCCCACCCAUACCUCGCCCUCA